GUGCAGCAGUCGAGAAAACUUCACAAUGUGCGAAAGCACGAUGAGGGAAUCCCAAGUGCUUGCACGUAAGUGUAAGCUGUUUCUCUGUCUAAGACGCAGAGAGAGUAAGGGCUGGGUAAGACGGGUGCCAGCCGCCGCGGUAAUACCUGCAGCUCGAGUGGUGACCGUUAUUAUUGGGCCUAAAACGUCCGUAGCCGGUUUAAUAAAUGCCUGGGUAAAUCGGACCGCUUAACGGUUCGAAUUCCGGGUAGACUGUUAAACUUGAGACCGGGAGAAGUUAGAGGUACUCCUGGGGUAGAGGUGAAAUUCUGUAAUCCUAGGGGGACCACCAGUGGCGAAGGCGUCUAACUAGAACGGGUCUGACGGUGAGGGACGAAGCCCUGGGGCGCAAACGGGGAUUAGAUACCCGCGUAGU
rnacentral:rRNA from 1 species